rnacentral:misc_RNA from 1 species
GAUGAAGAACGUAGCGAAAUGCGAUACUUGGUGUGAAUUGCAGAAUCCCGUGAACCAUCGAGUCUUUGAACGCAAGUUGCGCCCGAAGCCAUUAGGCCGAGGGCACGCCUGCCUGGGCGUCACACGUCGUUGCCCCCCCAUCUACUCCUUCGGGAUUGCGGGGGGCGGAUGAUGGCCUCCCGUGCGCCUCGUCGCGCGGUUGGCAUAAAUGCCAAGUCCUCGGCGACGCACGCCCCGACAAUCGGUGGUUGCGAAACCUCGGUUGCCCGUCGUGUGCGGUCGUCGCGCAUCGAGGGCUCGAAAAAAUUGCCGGGCUCCGGCUCGGCUUUCAACGCGACCCCAGGUCAGGCGGGGUUACCCGCUGAAUUUAAGCAUAUCAAUAAGCGGAGGA